UACGUAGGGUGCAAGCGUUGUCCGGAAUUAUUGGGCGUAAAGAGCUCGUAGGCGGUUUGUCGCGUCUGCUGUGAAAACCCGAGGCUCAACCUCGGGCCUGCAGUGGGUACGGGCAGACUAGAGUGCGGUAGGGGAGAUUGGAAUUCCUGGUGUAGCGGUGGAAUGCGCAGAUAUCAGGAGGAACACCAAUGGCGAAGGCAGAUCUCUGGGCCGUAACUGACGCUGGAGGAGCGAAAGCAUGGGGAGCGAACAGG
rnacentral:rRNA from 1 species